UCUGUGGAUUUAUAAUUUUUUCGAAAAUUAUAACUGGUAGCGGAACGUUCUGUAAGCCUGUAAAGGGAUACCUGUGAAGGAUCCUGGAGGUAUCAGAAGUGCGAAUGCUGACAUAAGUAACGAUAAAAGAAGUGAAAAACUUCUUCGCCGAAAAUCCAAGGGUUUCUGCGCAAGGUUAAUCCGCGCAGAGUUAGUCGGCACCUAAGGCGAGGGCGAAAGCCGUAGUCGAUGGAAAUAAGGUUAAUAUUCCUUAACCAGAUGGUAGUGACGGAUUUUGUAAGUUGUGAGUUCUAAAUGGAUUGAGCUUGCUGCGAAAAAGUCCCAGGAAAUAGCUCCAUCAUAAGACCGUACCCUAAACCGACACAGGUGGAUUAAUAGAGUAUAUUUAGGCGCUUGAGAGAAUGAUGUUGAAGGAACUCGGCAAAAUGCUUCUGUAACUUCGGAAUAAAGAAGACCUUUUUUAGGGCAACCUAUUAAAGGUGGCACAAGCCAGGGAGAAGCGACUGUUUAUCAAAAACACAGGGCUCUGCUAACACGUAAGUGGAUGUAUAGGGUCUGACGCCUGCCCGGUGCUGGAAGGUUAAUGCGAUGGGUGCAAGCUCAUUUCUGAAGCCCCAGUAAACGGCGGCCGUAACUAUAACGGUCCUAAGGUAGCGAAAUUCCUUGUCGGGUAAGUUCCGACCUGCAUGAAUGGCGUAACGAUUUCUCCGCUGUCUCCAACAUCAACUCAGUGAAAUUGAAUUCUCCGUGAAGAUGCGGAGUUCGCGUAGUUAGACGGAAAGACCCCGUGCACCUUUACUGCAACUUUACAUUGGUGUUAGGAAAAACAUAUUUAGCAUAGGAGGGAGACAUUGAAGCGAAAGCGUCAGCUUUUGUGGAGUCACCAGUGAAAUACCUCUUUUGUUUUUCUUGAUAUCUAACUGAUAGCCGUUAUCCGGCACCAAGACAUUGUAUGGUGGGUAGUUUGACUGGGGCGGUCGCCUCCCAAAUAGUAACGGAGGCGUGCGAAGGUAAGCUCAGAACGGUCAGAAAUCGUUCGUAGAGUGC
rnacentral:rRNA from 1 species